AAGGCACCACCAAGGAGAGUGAAGCAUGUGCUAAUUUGACUCCAACGCGGGAAAUCUACCCGGGUCCGGACCACUGAGGAUGACAGACAGUUUCUAUAUAUUGAAUUGGCGGAGUAUUACUACAAAUAUGCUAGCUCUUUCAAGAUUGUGUGAUAGGUGGUGCAUGGCCGUUCUUAGUUCGUGGAGUGAUCUGUCUGCCCAAUCGCGUUUCAAAUUUACGAGUCGAGUUGUUGUGAGUUCUCGCGUUGGCUUUGUAGGUGUACCGCACAUGCAAUUGCCACGCGCGUCUCACUUACAGACUCUCUUGAACGCAACGGACGGGACCGUACCCUCUUGUUGUGUAGAGCAAGUCAAAGCUGCGUUGUACUUUGUAUCUCUUAACGGAAUGCAAGUUCAAUUGCAUUAGCUAGCGACUCCACUACACAUGUUCACGUCGUCUCAUCUUCAAUUCACUUGAGUCGACUGGACAAACUUGAGGGACCGCUGUAACAAUCUUUUAAACCAGAUGAAGGUUGCGGCAAUAACAGGUCUGUGAUGCCCUUAGAUGUCCCGGGCUGCACACGUGCUACAAUGAUCAGUACAGUGAGCAUCUUUUCAAGUACACAAGUGUCUGGCAAUCUUGUUGUUGGCUAUCACGUCGGCAACUUGUAAUUGCUACACUGUAUCCCGACUCUGAGAGGAUUCGGUAAUCCAUUUGAAGUACUGACUCUAACUCGCGUUUGAGCAUUUAUCCUAUAAUGGCCCCGGUGUUACGUCCCUUGUCGGCUUUGACCGACUUGUGCGACGGCCGUUGGUUUGCCAUUUAUGCAAUUGUUAAUUCAAAGUGGGGACAGACGAUUGUUAAUUGUUCGUCUCGGUCUCAACUAGGAAUUCCUUGUACGGGUCUUUGGUUCAACAGACCACCCGGAAUACGUCCCUGCCCUUUGUACACACCGCCCGUCGCUCUUACCGAUGGACUUCUCUGCGAGUUUGGGCGACCAAUAGCAACUAUUGCUAUGGAAUCUUAAACGAACAGGGUUGUUUAAAGGAAAGAGAAGUCGUAACAAGGCAUCAGGGUACCGAGCUCGAAU
rnacentral:rRNA from 1 species